CCUACGGGUGGCAGCAGUGGGGAAUCUUGCACAAUGGGAGCAAGCCUGAUGCAGCCAUGCCGCGUGUAUGAAGAAGGCCUUCGGGUUGUAAAGUACUUUCAGUCGUGAGGAAGGUGUUAAGGUUAAUAACCUUAGCCAUUUACGUUAUCGACAGACGAAGCACCCCCUAACUCCGUUCCAGCUGCCUCGCUCUUACGGAGGGUGCGAGCGUUAAUCGGCAUUACUGGGCGUAAAGGGCACGCAGGCGGUUAAUUAAGUUGGAUGUGAAAUCCCCGGGCUUAACCUGGGAAUGGCAUUCAAGACUGGUUAGCUAAAGUCUUGUAGAGGGGGGUAGAAUUCCAUGUGUAGCGGUGAAAUGCGUAGAGAUGUGGAGGAAUACCGGUGGCGAAGGCGGCCCCCUGGACAAAGACUGACGCUCAUGUGCGAAAGCGUGGGGAGCAAACAGGAUUAGAUACCCUGGUAGUG
rnacentral:rRNA from 1 species